rnacentral:rRNA from 1 species
GUCCACGCCUUAAACGAUGAGAGCUAGUUGUCAGUAAGCAUGCUUAUUGGUGACGCAGCUAACGCAUUAAGCUCUCCGCCUGGGGAGUACGGCCGCAAGGUUAAAACUCAAAGAAAUUGACGGGGGCCCGCACAAGCGGUGGAGCAUGUGGUUUAAUUCGAAGCAACGCGCAGAACCUUACCCACCUUUGACAUCCCGUGUUACCUAGAGAGAUCUAGGGUCCCUUCGGGGCGCGGAGACAGGUGCUGCAUGGCUGUCGU